rnacentral:rRNA from 1 species
UACGUAGGCAGCGAGCGUUGUUCGGAGUUACUGGGCGUAAAGGGUGCGCAGGCGGCCGGGUGUGUCAGAUGUGAAAUCCCGAGGCUCAACCUCGGAACUGCGUCUGAAACUACUCGGCUAGAGUACUGGAGAGGGUAACGGAAUUCACGGUGUAGCAGUGAAAUGCGUAGAUAUCGUGAGGAACACCAGAGGCGAAGGCGGUUACCUGGACAGUUACUGACGCUCAGGCACGAAAGCAUGGGGAGCAAAAGGG